UUGUGGCCACAUCACAUUGAAAUUCCAGUUCCUGUAUAAUCACCAAAGUUAAGCAAUGUUGAGCCUAGUCAGUACCUACAUAGGUGGCCGCUUAGGAAUAUCAGGUGCUGUAAG